rnacentral:rRNA from 1 species
GUGCGUAACGCGUAUAGAACCUACCUUUUACAGAGGGAUAGCCUUUAGAAAUGAAGAUUAAUACCUCAUAGUAUUUUAAAUUGGCAUCAAUUAAAAAUUAAAGAUUUAUCGGUAAAAGAUGGCUAUGCGUCCUAUUAGCUAGAUGGUAAGGUAACGGCUUACCAUGGCAACGAUAGGUAGGGGCCCUGAGAGGGGGAUCCCCCACACUGGUACUGAGACACGGACCAGACUCCUACGGGAGGCAGCAGUGAGGAAUAUUGGGCAAUGGAGGCAACUCUGACCCAGCCAUGCCGCGUGAAGGAAGACGGCCCUAUGGGUUGUAAACAUCUUUUAUACAGGAAGAAACCUUACCACGUGUGGAAAGCUGACGGUACUGUAACAAUAAGCACCGGCUAACUCCGUGCCAGCAGCCGCGGUAAUACGGAGGGUGCAAGCGUUAUCCGGAAUCAUUGGGUUUAAAGGGUCCGCAGGCGGUCAAUUAAGUCAGAGGUGAAAUCCCAUAGCUUAACUAUGGAACUGCCUUUGAUACUGGUUGACUUGAGUUAUACGGAAGUAGAUAGAAUGUGUAGUGUAGCGGUGAAAUGCAUAGAGAUUACACAGAAUACCGAUUGCGAAGGCAGUCUACUACGUAUAUACUGACGCUCAUGGACGAAAGCGUGGGGAGCCAACAGGAUUAGAUACCCUGGUAGUCCACGCCGUAAACGAUGGACACUAGUUGUUGGAAUUAUUCAGUGACUAAGCGAAAGUGAUAAGUGUCCCACCGGGGGAGUACGAUCGCAAGAUUGAAACUCAAAGGAAUUGACGGGGGCCCGCACAAGCGGUGGAGCAUGUGGUUUAAUUCGAUGAUACGCGAGGAACCUUACCAGGGCUUAAAUGUAGGAUGCAUUAGCUAGAGAUAGCUAGUUCUUCGGACUUCUUACAAGGUGCUGCAUGGUUGUCGUCAGCUCGUGCCGUGAGGUGUCAGGUUAAGUCCUAUAACGAGCGCAAUCC